rnacentral:tRNA from 1 species
AUUACAAUUAAGAUAUAUUAAUCUGAGGAUUUGUGGAAUCCGAAAUGCUUUAGAGCAUGUAAUC